rnacentral:rRNA from 1 species
GUCUACGGCCAUGCCACUGUAAACAAGCCUGAUGUCUGAUCUCAGAAGCUAAAUAGGGUCGGGCCUGGUUAGUAUUUGGAUGGGAGACCACCUAGGAAGACCAGGUGCUGUAGGCA